AUUCCCUAAGUAGCGGCGAGCGAAAGGGGAAGAGCCCAAACCAGGAACUUGUUCCUGGGGUUGCGGAUAGAUCAUAACGCUUUGAUUUCUUUAGUUGAAGAGAACUGGAAAGUUCCGUCGUAGAAGGUAAUAACCCUGUAGGCGAAAAGGAAAGAAAAGUAGAUCUACUCCAGAGUACCACGAGACACGUGAAACCUUGUGGGAAGCUGGGAGGACCAUCUCCCAAGGCUAAAUACUACCUAGUGACCGAUAGUGAAGCAGUACCGUGAGGGAAAGGUGAAAAGAACCCCGGAAGGGGAGUGAAAUAGAAUCUGAAACCGUGUGCCUACAAUCGGUCGGAGCACAUUAAAGUGUGACGGCGUACUUUUUGUAGAACGGGCCAGCGAGUUACGAUAUAUAGCAAGGUUAAGCACUUAUGGUGUGGAGCCGAAGGGAAACCGAGUCUGAAUAGGGCAACUAGUUGUAUAUUGUAGCCCCGAAACCGAGUGACCUAUCCAUGGCCAGGAUGAAGCGGAAGUAAAAUUCCGUGGAGGUCCGAACCACGUUGGUGUUGAAAAACCAUGGGAUGAGCUGUGGAUAGCGGAGAAAUUCCAAUCGAACUCGGAGAUAGCUGGUUCUCCUCGAAAUAGCUUUAG
rnacentral:rRNA from 1 species